rnacentral:tRNA from 1 species
UUAAAAAAUCUUAUUUAAUUUUACAAUGAAAAUGUAAUGUUUUUCUUAAACUAUAUAAAUAGAAAU